UUUGCUGGUCGUGAGACAUGUUGAGUGAUUUUAUAGUCUAUUCAUUUUAUUUUUAUAUCCCCACGUAGGUUGUACUGAAACCGGUAACAAUCACACAACAUCACUGUUCAUGUGUUGCUGGCACCUCAUUAUGCAACCACACAGUUGCAUUACUAUUCCAAUCUGCACACUAUUCCCAGAUGGGAACACCAGUCAUCCCACCUGUGCACAGCUGCACAGAGGCCGAGCAGCAGUGGCAUAAGCCAAGGACAAUGGGUCUGCAACCUGGGCCCAUAGGCAUAAUGACCAUCACCUAGCCCACCAAAAAGUGCACGGCAGAAGGAGGGAUUAGAAGUAUUCUACAGCGCCCUUCUUGGACCACUCCCCGACCUCUCAGUUCGCCAGAUAGAAGAGGCAUACAAGAACUUUGACCCUCUAUCCAAGCCAUUGAUCUGCAGCAUGGGGAUGUCUGCUGAAAAGCUUUUUGUCGGCUCCCACUUUGGAAAGGUACAGGUGGGUACAGGUGGGGAGCAUCCUGUCUAACCAGCAGCCUCCAAUCACAACGCGACACAUAGUUCACCAUAAGCGACACAUAGUUCACCAUAAGGAGACACAUAGUUCACCAUAAGGAGACACCACCAUUCCCUUCACUGCCCCUGGAUGGCUACAGACUAGAGAGUGACUGUCAAGGCUGCACAUGUGUGCUCAGUGAAGACGACCAGCUUCACAUAGUCUCUUCAGGUGAGAGAAUACAUAAAGACCCAGUGGUGUUCUCACUAAUUACAGAGAAGGGUGACUGGUACUACUUGUGUACAUGCAAAAGUUCCUAGGCAGGAAAGACUAAAUAACAAGG